UACGGAGGAUGCGAGCGUUAUCCGGAUUUAUUGGGUUUAAAGGGAGCGUAGACGGUCCUGCAAGCCAGAUGUGAAAGCCCGGGGCUCAACCCCGGGACUGCAUCUGGAACUGUAAGGCUAGAGUGUCGGAGAGGCAGGCGGAAUUCCUAGUGUAGCGGUGAAAUGCGUAGAUAUUAGGAGGAACACCAGUGGCGAAGGCGGCCUGCUGGACGAUGACUGACGUUGAGGCUCGAAAGCGUGGGGAGCAAACAGG
rnacentral:rRNA from 1 species